rnacentral:rRNA from 1 species
CGGUAAUACGUAGGGGGCGAGCGUUGUCCGGAUUUACUGGGCGUAAAGAGCGCGUAGGCGGUCUGAAGAGUCGGCUGUAGAAUCUCUGGGCCCAACCCAGAGGGGUCGGCCGAGACCUUUGGACUAGAGGGUGGUAGAGGAAGGUGGAAUUCCGGGUGUAGUGGUGAAAUGCGUAGAGAUCCGGAGGAACACCAGUGGCGAAGGCGGCCUUCUGGGCCAUACCUGACGCUGAGGCGCGAAAGCGUGGGGAGCGAACCGAAUUAGAUACUCGGGUAGUCCACGCCCUAAACGAUGGACGCUAGGUGUCGGGGGUAUCGACCCCCCCGGUGCCCGAGCGAACGCAGUAAGCGUCCCGCCUGGGGAGUACGGCCGCAAGGCUAAA